CUGAGUUGCAAAACUCCCAAACCCAUGUGAACAUACCUGUUGCCUCGGCGGCCUACCCGGCAGCUACCCUGUAGCCACCCUGUAGCCCGCCGAAGGACCAUCAAAACUCUGUUUUUAUGUUUCUCUGAGUAAAAAUCAUAAUAAGUUA
rnacentral:misc_RNA from 1 species